CCACACCAUGCUUCCCGCCAUGAUGACAAUGGAUUGAAUCUCUGACACUAUUGAGGAUUGGCACAGUGAGGGGUGAAACAGGCAGAUGUCGUCCAGCUGCAGGGAAGAGGACAGAAGACAGAUGAUCUCCAGCUGCCAGCCUCUCCAGAUGCAGAAAGCGACAGUUGCCAAGGCCGUGCCUUCUGUAGGGCAGCUCAUGUCCACGGACUGACUGAAGAGGGGGGUGUGGGACUCCAGUCUUUCUGCCUAAGACUGAACAAUUCUGAUGAGUCAUAAUUCCUCCAGGGUCCCUUCUCCGGAAGCCUCUCCCCCUGCCUAGUCCUGCUUCCUUCUGCUUCCUGUCUGGGGCACUAACUGCUAGUCAGCAUUUUACACCCCAGCCUGCAAUAUCUGAAACUCUGAAGUAUCCUGAAAAACUGAAACGCUCUUGCUUUUCCUUAGCUCUCCCCCAGCCCAGUCCUUGGAACUCUGGCUUUCCUAUAGCAUCACUCGGUGUCUUCCUAAUCUUUGGGCACACACACACACACACACACACACACACACACACACACACACACACACAGGCAAAAGCAAAGCUUUUGAAAGAGACUUUUCCCACCAACCUUUAUUCCUUCGCCUGACCUUUGAAAGGGUGCCUCCGAGACUCACGGUUGUUCUCCUGGAUUUGUCUGUGGCCCUUCCUUCAUGAGGCAAUGAGCUUGAAACAUUCGGAGUGCUGCCUGGGCAAGCGGAGGGUUCUCGGGGUGCGUGAGGGCAGAGGUCUGCGUGAGAGGAACCAAGAAAAAACGCUUCUAUUA